rnacentral:rRNA from 1 species
AGUGAACGCUGGCGGUAGGCCUAACACAUACAAGUCGAACGGCAGCACAGUAAGAGCUUGCUCUUACGGGUGGCGAGUGGCGGACGGGUGAGGAAUACAUCGGAAUCUACUUUUUCGUGGGGGAUAACGUAGGGAAACUUACGCUAAUACCGCAUACGACCUACGGGUGAAAGCAGGGGAUCUUCGGACCUUGCGCGAUUGAAUGAGCCGAUGUCGGAUUAGCUAGUUGGCGGGGUAAAGGCCCACCAAGGCGACGAUCCGUAGCUGGUCUGAGAGGAUGAUCAGCCACACUGGAACUGGGACACGGUCCAGACUCCUACGGGAGGCAGCAGUGGGGAAUAUUGGACAAUGGGCGGAAGCCUGAUCCAGCCAUACCGGGUGGGUGAAGAAGGCCUUCGGGUUGUAAAGCCCUUUUGUUGGGAAAGAAAAGCAGCAGGUUAAUACCCCGCUGUUCUGACGGUACCCAAAGAAUAAGCACCGGCUAACUUCGUG